GAUGAACGCUGGCGGCGUGCCUAAUACAUGCAAGUCGAGCGGAAGGACGAGAAGCUUGCUUCGCGGAUGUUAGGGGCGGACGGGUGAGUAACACGUGGAUAACGUACCUAUAAUACGGGGAUAACUUCGGGAAACGGGAGCUAACACCGGAUGAUAUUUUGAACCGUGGGGUUGAAAGGUGAAAGACGGUCGUGCUGGCAGGUAUAGAUGGAUCCGCGCUGCAUUGGCUAGUUGGUAAGGUAACGGCUUACCAAGGGAACGAUGCAUAGCCGACCUGAGAGGGUGAUCGGCCACCCUGGAACUGAGACACGGUCCAGACUCCUACGGGAGGCAGCAGUAGGGAAUCUUCCGCAAUGGGCGAAAGCCUGACGGAGCAACGCCGCGUGAGUGAUGAAGGUCUUCGGAUCGUAAAACUCUGUUAUUAGGGAAGAACAUAUGUGUAAGUAACUGUGCACAUCUUGACGGUACCUAAUCAGAAAGCCACGGCUAACUACGUG
rnacentral:rRNA from 1 species